rnacentral:rRNA from 1 species
AGUUGCUAAGACAGGAUAGGAAAUUAAGAGGCAUCUUUUAAUUUUUAAAAGACCUUUUUCGAAAGGUAUACUUAAAGAGGGGCUUGCGCCACAUUAGCUAGUUGGUAAGGUAAAGGCUUACCAAGACGAUGAUGUGUAGCUGGACUGAGAGGUCGAACAGCCACAUUGGGACUGAGACACGGCCCAAACUCCUACGGGAGGCAGCAGUAAGGAAUUUUUGGCAAUGGAGGAAACUCUGACCGAGCGACGUCGCGUGAACAAUGAAGUACUUCGGUAUGUAAAGUUCUUUUAUUGAAAAAGAAAAAAUAGUGGAAAAACUAUCUUGACAUUAUUCAAUGAAUAAGCCCCGGCUAAUUAUGUGCCAGCAGCCGCGGUAAUACAUAAGGGGCGAGCGUUAUCCGGAAUUAUUGGGCGUAAAGGGUGCGUAGGCGGUUUGAUAAGUCUAUAGUUUAAAUGCAGUGCUUAACGCUGUAGCGCUAUAGAAACUGUCUGACUAGAGUUAGAUAGAGGCAAGCGGAAUUCCAUGUGUAGCGGUAAAAUGCGUAAAUAUAUGGAGGAACACCAGAGGCGUAGGCGGCUUGCUGGGUCUUAACUGACGCUGAGGCACGAAAGCGUGGGGAGCAAACAGGAUUAGAUACCCUGGUAGUCCACGCCGUAAACGAUGAGUACUAAGUGUCGGGUUUCGGCUCGGUACUGAAGUUGACACAUUAAGUACUCCGCCUGAGUAGUACGUACGCAAGUAUGAAACUUAAAGGAAUUGGCGGGACCCCGCACAAGCGGUGGAUCAUGUUGUUUAAUUCGAAGAUACACGAAAAACCUUACCAGGUCUUGACAUAAUUUUGCGACAUUAUAGAAAUAUAAUGAAGGUUAUCAGAAUUACAGGUGGUGCAUGGUUGUCGUCAGCUCGUGUCGUGAGAUGUUAGGUUAAGUCCUAAAACGAGCGCAACCCUUGUCGUUAGUUGCGACCACGUAAUGGUGAGCACUUUAGCGAGACUGCCAAUGAAAAAUUGGAGGAAGGUGAGGAUUGCGUCAAAUCAUCAUGCCCCUUAUGAUCUGGGCUACAAACGUGAUACAAUGGCUGUUACAAGGAGUAGCUACAACGUGAGUUUUUAGCCAACCUCAAAAAAACAGUCUCAGUUCGGAUUGAAGUCUGCAACUCGACUUCAUGAAGUUGGAAUCGCUAGUAAUCGCGAAUCAGCAUGUCGCGGUGAAUACGUUCUCGGGGUUUGUACACACCGCCCGU